UGCUCGCUUCCGCAGCACAUAUACUGAAAU
rnacentral:snRNA from 1 species